UACAUGACUCUGAAAACGAAGUACGCAUGCGUAGCAGGUGGGUCAGCGGGCGGACUCAGUGCUGGAAGUAUUUUAAUAAUCAUUGUGAUAUGUGCGGUGGUGGUAUAUCUCAUAGGGGGAGUGUUAGUGAUGAGGUUUGUCAAAGGCGCCAGGGGGACGGAGAUGAUCCCGAACGAAAGUUUCUGGAAGUCUUUGCCAGGAUUAAUAAAGGACGGUGGAAAAUUUGUAAUACACGGUUGCAAGGCCGAAAAAAGCUACGCGUCUAUUUAACGAAUAGACCUGCAUGUACCUUAAUAUAAACUAUAGAACGAAAGUAGAAAAAGCUGAUAAAACAUUUAUGAAACAAUCAUAAAUAUUAUGCUGCUGAUGAUAUUAAUGACCGUGAACUAAGAAAUGAGAUUAUAUUCUAAUGUUUCUGUAACCGUGAAGAUCUUUAAUCUCACGUAUUCUAAUUGAUCUUUAUAAAGUAGGCCUACCGGAAACUCUCAAAUCGUUUAUGAAAUGUCUUUGGUAGUGCUUUAUCAACAGAAAAUCAAAGGACCUCUGCAACGACUGUGGAUUUUUAACGCAAUUGAAGCAACUGAAUAGUUCCAAAUGUCUACUUAUCAAAAAGGACUUCAUUGUAAGAAACCAGAGGAUUCCGUCUAAAACGGCAACAGGAUACGGUAUAGGGUGGUUGCCCUUGACGUCGCGUGCAACAAUUUCACCCAUCCAGCCGCCAAAAAUAAAAAGACCAGGUGUGGAAAAAUAAUGGCAGCCCUAUACUAAUAAUAGUGAGUUGGAAUUCUGACAAUAUUUCAAUAAGAUUGUGUUUUUAAUAGUGUUAAUUUUAAAUGAUUUCCAAUUUAUGUUUAAGAUUUAGAUAUUGUAGUCAUUUUAAUAAUUUUAGUUAUAUCAUCCAUUAUUGUAAGGGCCUCGAGGUAGCAUAUAAGGCGCCAUAUAAGAAGCCUAUUAUUAUUAUUAUAACCAUUAACAAUUCACUCCAUUGUCACAGAAAGGAUCCUCCACUUACAUGUAUCAUUUUACAUCAUUCCAAAUAAAG